CAGCCGCCGCGGUAAUACGUAGGUGGCAAGCGUUGUCCGGAAUUAUUGGGCGUAAAGGGCUCGCAGGCGGUUUCUUAAGUCUGAUGUGAAAGCCCCCGGCUCAACCGGGGAGGGUCAUUGGAGACUGGGAAACUUGAGUGCAGAAGAGGAGAGUGGAAUUCCACGUGUAGCGGUGAAAUGCGUAGAGAUGUGGAGGAACACCAGUGGCGAAGGCGACUCUCUGGUCUGUAACUGACGCUGAGGAGCGAAAGCGUGGGGAGCGAACAGGAUUAGAUACCCGGGUAGUCCCUGUCUCUUAUAC
rnacentral:rRNA from 1 species